GAAAGAGGGUGGGCCUGGCUCCCCUGACACGCACGGAAGGAGUGGAGUGAGCUGGUGCAGAUGAGGGCGGCCCACAGGGGUGCCGGGAGGGCCUUGACUCAGUCCGGCUCCAAUCGGUCCUGGGACAAGGGCAGAAUUCAGCCGCUGCUGGCAGCCCCUGUCCAGUGUCCGGGUCCCGAAUUUUAGGAGCCACUGCUGCCCCCUUGGUCGCCUGAAACCCUCUCUCCUUCCUGCCUCCGAUCAUAACCCUGCAAUCUGGCCCUAAUCGCCGCCGGACUCUGUCAUGUGAAGGCCUGGCCCACACCUGCCUUCGCAGCCCACGGAACCCUGGCAGCCCCACCAGCUCGGAUGAGGGGCCAGGCCGCUGCCUCGGGCGCCCUGUGGAUUUCGAUUCACUGCUGCUGCUGCUGCUGCUGCUGCUGCUGCUGCUGCUGCUGCUGCUGCUGCUGCUGGGGCGCCAGCGAUGUGUGACCUCGUGGCUGGAUGUGGGUCCUCGGGCUGGGCUGUGCCUUGCCCCAUGCUGGUGCAGGGAAAAUUCUUCAGGUACGCUUGGCGGUUGCUGAGUUCCUCGCUAACGCCUCUCGCUGCUCCUGGACCCAGUGCAACCAGGACCCGCACCACCACGUGCACUACAUGAAGGUGGGGAAGGCAGCCCCACCUGCAGCAGCCUGGCCUGCAUCUGCAUCUACCAGUUGGACUCCUUCCUGCAACCCAUGCGCACCUACCUGGGCCUGGAGAGCUGUGAUGAGGUGCUGAGGCUCGUGACCCCUCGGGGCCUCUGGCCUUCCUGCUGGCCAGCAAGUAGUUCCUGUCGAAGAAGGGACAGCAGCCAUCCCAGGGCAGUGACCGCGGGACCCAGGUUGGGGCCCUCCCACGCCAGUGACAACUUUCCCGUAGAACACCUCACCAUGGGCAGCCGCAACCCCAGCGAUGUGGCUGGCGGCCCUUAGAACUGCCUCACCAGCCUGACCCAGGACCGGGGCGGGGAUGCGCUUCAGUCCUGCCCUACAUGGACUCAUGAAAAGCGUCUCGCUGUUGGGAACUCUUCCUCCACCGUAUAAAGAAGGCCGGGCUAGCUUGCUGAAGAGAUGGGGAUCCACCUCGAGCCAGCACCAAGCAGCAGACACGUGCAGAAGAGCUACUCUGUGUCCUGUGUGGGGCGGUACAGGGAGCGGAAGGGCAGCCAUUCCCAGCGGUCCGGGGCAGAUCCUGGCGCAGAUCCUGCAGCAAGCCUCGCUGCCAGGUUACACCGCCGCGCUCCAUGGCAUCUUUCAGAGUGUUCUGAGCUGCACUGGACUGAUGGAGAUUUGCUGUUUAUCGCAUCAGACAGCCUUCUCUCUAGACACAGGUCUUCUGGGAAUUUGACUGAUUUUAGAUGGAAGUCUUCAUGUGCCACAGCCAAAUUGGGGAUGAAAAAUUGAGGGACGU
rnacentral:lncRNA from 1 species